rnacentral:rRNA from 1 species
UGGGGAAUAUUGCACAAUGGGCGCAAGCCUGAUGCAGCCAUGCCGCGUGUAUGAAGAAGGCCUUCGGGUUGUAAAGUACUUUCAGCGGGGAGGAAGGGAGUAAAGUUAAUACCUUUGCUCAUUGACGUUACCCGCAGAAGAAGCACCGGCUAACUCCGUGCCAGCAGCCGCGGUAAUACGGAGGGUGCAAGCGUUAAUCGGAAUUACUGGGCGUAAAGCGCACGCAGGCGGUCUGUCAAGUCGGAUGUGAAAUCCCCGGGCUCAACCUGGGAACUGCAUUCGAAACUGGCAGGCUAGAGUCUUGUAGAGGGGGGUAGAAUUCCAGGUGUAGCGGUGAAAUGCGUAGAGAUCCGGAGGAAUACCGGUGGCGAAGGCGGCCCCCUGGACAAAGACUGACGCUCAGGUGCGAAAGCGUGGGGAGCAAACAGG